UUCUGCCCUUGUCCCUGCCCUUGCCCUUGUCCCUGCCUCUACACUUUUUCCUGCCACUGCUCCAGCUCCUGCCCCUCCUUCUGCCCUUGUCGUUGCCCCAGCUCCUGCCCAGCCCUUGUCCCUGCUCCUGCCCCAGCCCGUCUGCCUCCUUCCCCAGCCCCUGUCCCUAUCUGACAGGACCCUGCUUGCUCUCUGCUCUCACUCUGCCCCCUCCCCCUGUUUUCUGCCCCGUCCUCUGCCCCUGCCAGCCCCCCGCCUGCUCACCUGCCCCUGGCCACCUCGCCUCACCUGGCUCCCUGAUUCCCCCUGACCCACGCCCGCCUGGCCGUGACCCUGUGUCCAUGUGACCCUUCCUAGCACAAGCUGACAGCGGAAAAGCCUGUCGGGCAGGGCUCAGAGGUCCCCGGUGCAGCUGUUUUAGCCCCGUGCUGGUUUCCAAGACAGCAAUUUGCCCCAUUGCAAGACAGCUCAGAACAGCAGUCUCAUAUACUUCUAGAUGCUGAAAAGAUCUGGAAAGGUGACUUCCUGUAUGAAGCUUUUUCCUCCUGCUGCAUGUCCUUUGGGCUCCAUCAGAACCAGGGGAGAGAGAUGGUCUCUAUUAAUAUCCAGAGAUCCAGCCAACUCCAGCAAGCAGGGGCAAAGUCCUGCUCAAGUGAUGGGGCUGCAUAUCUUAGGAAAUGUGGUGUAACUGUGCAACCUGGUUGAGCAUGGACACUCUGACAAACAUAACAAGCCUCC